AUGUCCCCUCAGCAGCAUGAAGCAAGAGUGUGAAGAUCCACAAUGCAACUGGCAAUUGCCGGGUUCUGUGCUUCUAAAUACUAGAGACUGGGCAGAGUCACCAUGGCAAGGUGGUUUUUACAGCAUCCCUGUGGCAACAUUUGUUAGAGAGCUUGGAGGGCAGAUUUCUUUAUCUACCCCAGCUGCAGUGGAAGUGCACAGAAAGGGCUGUGGAAAUCUAUCAUUCCAGUCUGUCAAAUACAAAUCAUAGCAGCAGAACACCAGCCACAAGAAUCUGGAAGAUCAGCAGCUUAAACUGAACUGGAGUAAUCUAGGUAGAAAUAUCAGAGAAGGAGCUGGAGAUGCUGGACAGGAUGGAAAACAAGGAGCUGAAUAACGUAAUAGCCAUAUGUUUACAUGUUUGUUUCUUGCUUGAAAGAGUGGAUUUCCCUCAUGCUACCAAUGCCUCUUAAUGAAAUAUGACCACUAGGACUUAUUGUGCCAGCCAGGCAACAAUAUAUGGUCUGAAGUUUCACAUUUAUCAACUUACCUCUUACAUUCAGUGUUUCAAAUUGGAGUUUGGCGAGGCAAACCGCAGGUCGCUUUCCACACGAAACCACGAUUGCACACAUUUGGACGUAAUGGAGUUCCAAACUCUGCCCCGUUUAACUGCAGUUUCAUGAAAAUAUGGGCUCAAAGCCAAGGGCAAAAGAAAAACACUGCAUAGAAGGAAUGAAGCGGGAAAGGUAUCAAAUAUACUACAAAUACUACAAAAAAGCAAUUGCUACAGGAGUAGAAAUUAGAAGCUAUUGGUAAGUAAAUAAACAAAAACAGGGAAAACUGUACAGAAUAAGGCAAUGGCCCUCUUUGCUUUGGCAGAACUUGGUUGUUGAUGAGCACAGGUGGACAUUAAUUAGAGCUGCCUUGGAUUUUAGGGUACUGAUCUUAUCAUACUUUGAAAGUAGCUUUACCUUACCAUAUGCUUGUUUUAGUGUCCUCCUAAUAAUUAUUUAGCUUGUGCACUUUUAAUAUACAUUACAAACAUACAUAGUAAUCCUCCACUGUUCUUUGAUCCUGAGUACUAAACCACUUGUAAUGUUUAAAGU